rnacentral:rRNA from 1 species
UCGGAUCGGAGUCUGCAACCCGACUCCGUGAAGCUGGAUUCGCUAGUAAUCGCGCAUCAGCCAUGGCGCGGUGAAUACGUUCCCGGGCCUUGUACACACCGCCCGUCAAGCCAUGGAAGCCGGGGGUGCCUGAAGUGUGCAGCCGCAAGGAGCGCCCUAAGGUAAAACCGGUGACUGGGGCUAAGUCGUAACAAGGUACC